rnacentral:rRNA from 1 species
UACAGAGGGUGCAAGCGUUGUUCGGAAUUACUGGGCGUAAAGCGCGUGUAGGCGGUUUGGUAAGUCAGACGUGAAAUCCCUUGGCUUAACUGAGGAACUGCGUCUGAUACUGCUUAACUAGAGUGUCGGAGGGGAUGGUGGAAUUCCUGGUGUAGAGGUGAAAUUCGUAGAUAUCAGGAGGAACACCUGUGGCGAAGGCGGCCAUCUGGAAGACAACUGACGCUGAGACGCGAAAGCGUGGGUAGCAAACAGG